rnacentral:misc_RNA from 1 species
AAUUUACUAUUUUUACAAGAUAAGAUUCUGUAAUGCUCUAAUGAAGUGGAUAUUUAUAGCUGCUAUACAGGUACAUUUUCAUAAUUGUGCUUCGUCAAAUCAACUUAACUAAUGGAAUUUAACAGAUACAUUGUUUAGUUAUGGAGUACAAAAGAUAACCAUUUGCUUGAGGGGUCAUUGUAUAUAUAUUUCAAAUUGAUUUAUAUGGUUUUCAUGGCACAAUAAUGCCCACAGUUUUCUUCCACUAAUCUGAUG